rnacentral:lncRNA from 1 species
CUGUUAUACAUUCUGUAGAUGUUGACCUACAAAGUUUAUCAAGCCAGACGCUCAAAGCACAGUGAUUUGGUGAAGAUGAGACAACCACAGAAGCCUGUGUCCUGGCCAGCCCAAGUGGAAGUUCUUUCUGAUAAAAGUUACAGAAAAUGCACUGGAGUCUGCACAUUGACUUAAUUUCUACGAAUAUGUGCUUAAGCAUCUACUGCCACAGAUGCCUCUUUCCGACAACAUUCUGUCCUUGUACAUUGUGGAAAUUGUACACCUUCUGCCUAUGAAGGUCUGUAUGACAAGCUGGCCUGUGCUACUCGCUGACAUCCCUGGUCCCAGGCAUCGUUCCCUGGAAAGCAGGCUCACGUGGAAGGGAAGAUUUCAAUCUUGGGGCUAUAUCUAUGCCAUGUAUGUAUUAAAGGAGAAUGCCAAUACCCCUGCAGACCGUGGAGGUGUCACUACUCUUGAAGAGACUGGGCACAAAGAACCACGCGGUGGAGGAUAAGGAACUCCAGUCCAUAUAAGCCAGGUGGCUGUCCCUGACCAGCUGUGUCGACGACCCAAUGCAAUUUCAUGAUGGAGUUUUCCAAGGACCCAACUCUUGGGUGUGGGUCUGCUCCCAGUUGGCUUCCAUGUCCAUACUUCAUCCACCACAGCAGGUGCCUGUGGCUCUAGAGGGUGGCUUGGAGGCCCCAGCAUUAGAAGGACUAGACCAUCAGGAGUAUCCUUGUCUAAUGGGAGAGAUGAAGGGACCGCUCCCCUGACCGUUUUUAAGAAGGGGUUCCCUUGCCUCCCUCCACAGGUGUGAUUACUUUACUAGAGAAGCUCACAGAACUGAGAGAAACACCUAUUUAUGUUUACCAGUUUAUUCAAGGAUAUGAUAAAGAUAGAGAUGAAGAGCUAGAUGGAGAUACAUAGGGUGAGGUCUGGGAGGGUCCUGUGUACAGCAGCU